GUGCUUGCCUCGACAGCACAUAUACUAAAACUGGAACAAAACAGAAGAUUAGCAUGGCCCCUGCACAAGGAUAACAUGCAAAUUCAUGAAGAGUUCCAUAUUUUA
rnacentral:snRNA from 1 species